rnacentral:lncRNA from 1 species
CCCACGUCCAAAGUAUAUCUGCAAGUACGUCAUCGAAUUCCCCCUGUGACAGUAUGUUAUAGACUACGUAUGGAAAUACUGACACCUUCACAGAGGGAGGGGAGGCUGUAGGGUCAACAGGUAAUUAAAAAAGCAUCACAAAAAGGGGAGGCAACAAAAGAGGCUAUUGGAUUGUUGUGGCUGAUUAAGACGUCGCUAAGAACACUGCCUUAUUAUCUGGAGCAACAGCCCAUUCCAGCACUUGCAGAGGGACUGGCAUAGCCAGAAUCGCUGAUCCUG